GCCGUGGUGGCGGAAUGGCAGACGCGGAGGUCUCAAAAACCUCUGGGGCGCAAGCUCCUUGAGAGUUCAAGUCUCUCCCACGGCA
rnacentral:tRNA from 1 species